GUCCAUGAGGAAUAUGUAUGGGCAUGCCUUCACUUCUUCGCACUCCUCUUCCUUUACUCUCAACUCUCUUCCCUCUCCCUCUUAAUUUAUUGCUUAUAUCAACGACAUCCCUUUGGGAAUUCAGAGUCUUUAUCUGUAUGAGAUCUAAGAACUGCAGACUUUGAUCAUGAAUUUUGCAAGUCCUGUCAUGCUUUUCCACAGCUUUCUUGAACUUCAGCCUGAAUUUGAUCCAUCCAUCCAUCCACCCAUCUCUCCCUCUUUGUCUUCUGGGAUUUUUUUCAUCAAGCAAUGAAGUUCAAGGAAGCUGUGGGAAGACAUGGCCACUCAGGACUUCACCCCAAUUGUGCACAGAAUUGCCUGCCUGCACCUGCAGGAUGCAGCACAGCUGGUUUUGGUUGUUUCAGAUAUUAUCUCUGCAGGCUGCAGGCCGCGCGCUACCGUUGACGAUGAACCCGGCAAAUCCACCAAAUUCUGCUCCACGAUUGGCGUGAAUUCUUCCUUCUCGGUUUAGGUAAACGUCCCUUGUCUUAAAAUAGUUAGAAUUGCUCGUUAUAUGCAUAUUUCAAAGUUCAUGCCACAAUUGGAGGAAUAUUAGACGAAAGUCAAGACCACCCAGUUUCCAUGACUUCUUACCCUUUCUUUUCUUUCUUUUUUUUUUUUUUACCGCUGUUACAAAACCCUGCAUGGCCGUGUAAAACUUCUCCCGUGAAACUCUGAUCACUUUUUUUUUUCUUGAAUUGCCUGUUAAUGCGGCGCAAUGUUUUGUUUGAUUUCUCAUUAUUAUUUCAAGAGGUAGUUUAGUUAUCUAUGCUAGCAAGUUUAAGUUACAAAAGUAUAAUCGAAGUGGUGAAAACUGAAAGAUGUUGCAGAGAAGAUUCCCUGCCUUUCCUCUUUUUCUCAUCAAUAAUUGGUAGUUCAUCUUGUUUGCCCUUUGUUUUCUUGCUUCCCCAUCAUCUCAUGCGUUUCCGUGAAAAAAGGUUAAACUUUGUCAUUUUCUGAAAAUUAAAAAAAUUUUUUUUUACCACCCUCAACUCUCUCUCUCUCUCUCUACACACACUCACACUCACACUCACACUCACACAGUAGUAGUUCAGUACAUGCACACGCAGAGACACAUAUGGAUUCUCGCCUUCCUUUGAUUAAUACCCUACGACUCGUCGACUACUACUUUACUACAUUAAACAGACCCCUCAAACUUGUGCAAUCUUCGAAGUUAAAAUAUGUCAGUACUAUAGUGUUCACUAAUGCUUGGUGGUUGAGCUGAUAUAGUGCAUCAGUAAUAGUUAUUAGGAGUUUUCAAUGCAUUUUUUUCAGAGUGGCAGCAUAUCUUUCUGGGAUUAUAUCAAAUUCCCGUCUAUGUUGCAACUAGCCCAAUUACGGAUAUGAUCUCAUCAUCUAGGGAACUCUCUCCUUUUUUUUUUUUUUUUGGCCUAAAAUUGUCUGAAACAAUCUUCAAGCCGCAAUUUGCGCGGCUCAUCCUUCUCAUCUCAUCAGUGCACCAUUAUUAGUCCCUAGAUUUUUAAGCUCCAUCAGAGUCUGGUUCUUCUUGGAAAUUGUUGAAGUUUUGCAUUAACCACGAUCAACAACGAUGGGAGUAGGAAUUAAAAGUAAGAGAACAGAAAUUAAAAAAAGGUGCGUAAAGACAUGCUACUGCUCAGAAGUGAGAAUUUAAGGAUGCGAUUAGACCUGUCACGGGUAGCUGAAAUAUCUAGAUGCGGUUUGGCAAGCAAAGCAGCAGUUUUGAUUGGUGGUUGAUGGGUAGGGCUGUUAAGAUUACUUAAAAUAGACCAGACAUUGGGGCAUGGCUGUCCUGUACCAAGUCUAAAAUAGAUUUGACAUUCAUAAAACCCAUGAAUGCCGUGGAGGUAGAGUUGCCUGCUCCCCUACCAUUUUUAAGAUUUGUCUGGCUGAAGAUGCCAGGAGCUGUGACUCGAGUGUUUGCGUUGAGGGAGUCAGGUUAUCACUAGUACUGAUUUGGUGUUGCAGUACUAGGGGAGUGGGCAAGAGUUUACUGGGAGAAGCAAAGUCAUCAGAUGAUCAGUCCUGAGGAGCUAAUGAAAAUUAGCCAGCAUCUCUGCCUUGGGCUAGUUUUUUUUUAUUACAUAUAUAGUUUUUUUCCUUCCUCAAGUCAGUCAGACCAAUCACUUUUCAGAUUCUAUUUCCAGUUAUUGGUUUGGUUGAAAUGCCAGAGUGACGAGCAAUUCAUAAUCAAGUACGUCUAUAAUUAAUGUCAUUUUCUAGUUAAUUUUUUAUUUUAAUCAGUUUGAGUUAAUUUACCCUGUGAACCUGGCUCCGGCCCAAGGACCAAUUCCCAGUUCGCAUAGCACAUAACCAACCACCUUGUUGGGAAACUAGAAAGGUCCGUCUGCAAGUUUGCUAGCUUAAGGCUUCAUCUUCCCAUCUAUAAAGAAAAAUCCAAACCACAUUAACUCGCAAUACUCUCGCAUUACGAAGCGUAUAGGGCAUAGAUAGCAGGAUAUCAACGUCUUAUGUCGUGAAUUGGGGACUGGAGUGUUGUAGGUCCUUCUUCUGAAAGUCCAUUAAAUCACGGAUGAAUGAUACAAAUCAGAACUCAUGUCCUACAUAGCAACAAAUUAGAUUCAUUGUCCAUUCCCUUCAAUCUAUCAUAUAUGCCAUAGGUUUCAGUGAUUUUCGUAGAACUAUGUGCGAACUCAAGGAAGAUCAUCUUAAUUCUUGAUUAGACUUUUUGAGCUAAUCUACGAAGCCCUUCCCUAACUACUAGGUAUGAUGUGAUGCAACCCCAUGGAAGGCCGAUUAAGUUAGGGGAGAUGCACAAGAGCGAAUAGCUGCAUAUUCCUAUUUCCUUACACACAUGGCGCAUCUCUAACUUUUGCCAUGCGUAUUAACAAUGAGGCCCAAGAUUAUACCUUUCUUUAAGGAACUUAAUUUACUUGCAAAGUAAGUUCCCAAGGAGGAGACAUUGUGAUACCUUCCAUGAAUGACUGACAAGGCGAUACGAAGGUAGCUGUCUUAUGAAGCCAUUGGACUGUGGUUUCUACUGUUUUGAUUGGUAACAACUAACAAAAACACUGCUCGGAGUGAGUUUUUCACAAUCAUAUCAAGAGAAACUCGAUCAAAACGGACCAAAACUGCAUAGGUCAAAGCCUAAAGGAUCAAACUAUAACAUAGAACUUUAAAACCAUUCUUCACUUGUAACCAAAACUAAUUAGCAAGUUUACUCUAAAAGCUAGUUGCUCAGACUAGUUAGUUCACCAAUAGUGGCUUAGAAAGUACUCAAAGCAAGGACCUGAGAGCGGGGAAGGACUGGUUCUGUACAACUAAAACGUAGUAUAGCCGUAGCAUGUGUAUGUCCAUUUUCAUGAAGAACGUCUUGAAAAUGGUUUCAAUAUGAGAGGAAGAUUCUAUGAUAUAACUUGUUUGCAAAUUUAAAUUAAGAACAUGAAUCAAAAUCAUAUACCUUUCCAGAGAGCAGAGACUUACAAUGCCGCUUUCUCUGAAAAACUUGGCCAACAUCAGAGUUUCUUAUUAGACCAUGUAGACCAUCCUUUCUAGGUGCCAACUAGAAUGAGAAGGUAGUCUGCAUCUAAAUGGUUAAGUGGUUGUUUGGUUACAAUUUGCUGACGAAGUUUCGAGCUUUAUUCAGGCAAACGGCUUUCAAAGCCAAUCAAGAGAUUACGUUUUAAGGGUGCCAUAGAAUCCUCAUUGGCUUAUCUAUUUCAGGUCGAAGUUUUAUUACCGAUCGAUUGGCUUUUUUUGCAACAAAUCUAAAAGUGUAUGUCCCACAUUCCCCAUGGCAUACAAAAUCCAGCUACGAAUCCACAUCAAUGAUGUAAUGCUUUAAUAAAUUCAAUCACUUGGUGCAAGGAGCUAUGGCAUAAGUCUGUCCUUAUGCCCCAUUAUCGACGGACAGAAAUGGCAAGUUAACUCCAGCCAUCUAGACUACUGGUCAUCAAAUGUUGUUCUUUGUUUGGCACAGGUGUUGAAUCGAAAGCACGAAUGGAUAAUGAGCGUUGUUGAAUCUCCAUCAAAUGCUAAUUAUAAAAACCUACCGUGCAGUUUCUGUAACAUCAGGCGCAGCAUAUUUUAGACUUGUGGACACUUUUUUCCCCUAACCGUGAUCUUCGGAUGCUGGAAAUGAUUUCUCUAAAAUGUCCUAAUGUCAACAGACUUGUUUUUUGUAUUCCGCAUAUAGGGGAGUAGCAACAUUUUCAAGAAGAUGGAAAAGAAAGAUUCACGUUUGGCCUGAUUUCUCUUUCUGUUUCUCUCGUCUUGUUUGUCAGUCCAUGCAUGUAGUUUUGUUUCUCAAUGCUUCUCUCUCUCUCUCUCUCUCUCUCUCUCUCUGAUGAUGCUCAGUCUCGAUCGGCUUGUGUUACUUUAACAUUAUUGUGUUUAUGAGGCUAAUGGAGUUCAUCGUAGUUUUGCAUUAAUAAAUCCAGCAGCAUAACUAAGCACAAUAAGGGCAUUAAUUAGCCUUCAGCAGAAAUUGAUGGCGGCCCUGAAUUGGCUGCUUUCUUGGGACAAUAUGACUUGGGGUUGCGACAUAUUUCUGCUCCUCCUAACAGUGCUUUACAUUAAUAUAUACUGUAUUGGCUACCUCAGAGUUAAUAAGACCGUGGCGUGGAUCGUGCACGGUCGCAUUAUUGGUGAAUCAUUUAUAGUUCAUCUAAUCUGAUGAGCUGUAUGUAUGAAGAAGUUGGAAAUUAAUGUAUUACCAAACAAUUCUACAAA